UGGGGAAUAUUGGACAAUGGACCAAGAGUCUGAUCCAGCAAUUCUGUGUGCACGAUGACGUUUUUCGGAAUGUAAAGUGCUUUCAGUUGGGAAGAAAAAAAUGACGGUACCAACAGAAGAAGUGACGGCUAAAUACGUGCCAGCAGCCGCGGUAAUACGUAUGUCACAAGCGUUAUCCGGAUUUAUUGGGCGUAAAGCGCGUCUAGGUGGUUAUGUAAGUCUGAUGUGAAAAUGCAGGGCUCAACUCUGUAUUGCGUUGGAAACUGUGUAACUAGAGUACUGGAGAGGUAAGCGGAACUACAAGUGUAGAGGUGAAAUUCGUAGAUAUUUGUAGGAAUGCCGAUGGGGAAGCCAGCUUACUGGACAGAUACUGACGCUGAAGCGCGAAAGCGUGGGUAGCAAACAGGAUUAGAUACCCUGGUAGUCCACGCCGUAACGAUGAUUACUAGGUGUUGGGGGUCGAACCUCAGCGCCCAAGCAAACGCGAUAAGUAAUCCGCCUGGGGAGUACGUACGCAAGUAUG
rnacentral:rRNA from 1 species